UUCUGGUUGAUCCUGCCGGAGGCCACUGCUAUCAGAGUUCGAUUAAGCCAUGCGAGUUGAGAGGUGCAAGACCUCGGCAUACUGCUCAGUAACACGUGGACAAUCUAACCUACAGAAGGGGAUAACCCCGGGAAACUGGGGAUAAUACCCUAUAGACUAUGGAUGCUGGAAUGCUCUGUAGCCGAAAGGUCCGCCGCUGUAGGAUGGGUCUGCGGCCGAUUAGGUUGUUGUUGGGGUAACGGCCCAACAAGCCUGUAAUCGGUACGGGUUGUGGGAGCAAGAGCCCGGAGAUGGAUUCUGAGACACGAAUCCAGGCCCUACGGGGCGCAGCAGGCGCGAAAACUUUACAAUGCGGGAAACCGUGAUAAGGGAACUCUGAGUGCCAGUUAAAUCGGGCUGUCCAUCAGUUUAAAAAACUGGUGAAGAAAGGGCCGGGCAAGACCGGUGCCAGCCGCCGCGGUAAUACCGGCGGCUCGAGUGGUGGCCACUAUUACUGGGCUUAAAGCGUUCGUAGCUGGUUUGUUAAGUCUCUGGGGAAAUCUUCCGGCUUAACCGGAAGGCGUCUCAGGGAUACUGGCAGACUAGGGACCGGAAGAGGUGAGAGGUACUCCAGGGGUAGGAGUGAAAUCCUGUAAUCCUUGGGGGACCACCUGUGGCGAAGGCGUCUCACCAGGACGGCUCCGACAGUGAGGGACGAAAGCUGGGGGAGCAAACCGGAUUAGAUACCCGGGUAGUCCCAGCCGUAAACGAUGUGCGUUAGGUGUAUCGGUGACCACGAGUCACCGAGGUGCCGAAGAGAAAUCGUGAAACGUACCGCCUGGGAAGUACGGUCGCAAGGCUGAAACUUAAAGGAAUUGGCGGG
rnacentral:rRNA from 1 species